rnacentral:misc_RNA from 1 species
GCCGAUGAUGAGAAAAAUUAUGGCUGAAUCGUGAUGAGCCCUAUGAGUACUGAU